rnacentral:rRNA from 1 species
UACGUAGGGUGCAAGCGUUGUCCGGAAUUAUUGGGCGUAAAGAGCUCGUAGGCGGUCUGUCACGUCGGCUGUGAAAACCCGAGGCUCAACCUCGGGCCUGCAGUCGAUACGGGCAGACUAGAGUUCGGUAGGGGAGACUGGAAUUCCUGGUGUAGCGGUGAAAUGCGCAGAUAUCAGGAGGAACACCGGUGGCGAAGGCGGGUCUCUGGGCCGAAACUGUCGCUGAGGAGCGAAAGCGUGGGGAGCGAACAGG